GUGUUUAGUACCCAGGUGUGGUGUGGAGUGGAACUUGUUGUUGGUGUCUCUGUGUAAAGAAACUGUAAGUUUGCUUUGUUUCCUCCUUCAACAAUUUGUCUUUAAGAACUUUACUGUUUGUUCAGCUCAUGUUUGAUUUUUUCACACAAACUGUGUGUGUUUUAUUUCCGGGCAGUCUCUCCAUUAAAAUCAGUGUGUAAUGUUUUCUGGCUAACAUCAGGUGUGUGCAGCAGUUCCAGUACAAAUCUGCAGCUCCAUAGUUUAUGGUAACGGACUCACAACUGGACCAACAAGCCCGAGUUUGUACUUUGUGAGUUCACUCAGAGUCCACAAAGAAUCCAGUGUGCGUGAUGACAUCACAGCUCAGCUGCAGUGUUUUGCUCGCCUUUACCGUGACUGUGAUUAAUAUUUACACACGAGAAACCUGCAGAGUUCUUAAAGACACAGCCCAAAAUGGUUGUAUAUUCUCAAAAACUUUUAUAUUCUCAAGCAUUAAAGCUAAAACAAAAGGGAAAUGUAACAGUAAGAAAACUCCAGUUCAUUCAUAUAUAAGCAUAAAUAAGAGAUUUGGGGAAAAAAUGCGUAAACACUGGACUAAUUUUUUUCAUCAAUUUAACUUUGACUUUCAUGGCAGGGCUGCAAGGAUAAAGUACUCCCCUCCAAAAAACACCGCCUACAGCUAAAUGGCAUGUGGAUAAGUCACAUGACAAGAGAUGAGAAUUAAAUUAGAACAAAGAAUAAAGUUUUUUAAUUUUUUCAGUCAAAAUGUUUUUGUGAAACAUGGCGACUGUAGCUGAGACUGUAGCUUUGGCCUGUUUUACUGUUUCUGGGUCAGAAAGGCUCACCAUUACAAAUGGAAAAAUGACUUCUCAGUUAUACAAACAAUUUAGAACAGCUGUAUGUGGACUGAGACCCUGGAGAAAGAGAGAAAGGGUGAAAGAAGAAGAUGUGGUAGAGGGGAGACCUCAGAUAAUGUUCUGGUUUUGGAGCAGUGAUCAGCUUGUGGGGUUAGUUGAUGGUUCAUCAACUUCACCUUCAGCGAGUGUUUUAUUUUUUGUUUGUUCAGUUUAUUGAAGUUUCAAACAUUCUUCUGAGCUUUUACAACAUCAUGCUUUACAUCACCAUUGAUAGGGGGGCCAUAAAAAACAGACUAAAAAUGUCCAAUAUUUUCAUUUAAAGCUUGACACACUUGAUUCAGAUGAAGUUUUUUGAGCAGAAAACUACUGGAUCUUUAUCCUGUGCUUGAACUAAUGUUUCCUCCAUCGAGUGGACCAGGGGAGCUCAGAGGUUCCCAGUGGUCAGUCUGCCCAGCAGCAUCAAACACAGCUGGACUCCAUAUUUAUGCUGCUGGAGGACAACAUCAUCACUUUUAUGAAGAACGAGCAGAAAAGGAUUCCAGAAGGUUCUGAGUCCAGAUUACCCAGAAUGCUUAGAGAUCUGAAAUCUGCUCUGAAGAAGAAGUUCCAGUGUGUUUUUGAGGGGAUCGCUAAAGCAGGAAGCCCAACCCUCCUGAAUCAGAUCUACGCAGAGCUCUACAUCACAGAGGGAGGGACUGCAGAGGUCAAUGAUGAACAUGAGGUCAGACAGAUUGAAACAGCAUCCAGGAAACCAGACAGACCAGAAACAACAAUCAGACAAGAAGA